rnacentral:lncRNA from 1 species
UACUGGUGCAGAGGCUAGCACAUGGAAACUGACCCGGAGGAUGAUCAAGCCGACUUGCCGGAGUAGCUACUUGUUCUUGUGUCAAUAACUUUGAUGAUUUUGUGGCCCUAUAAUGAUCAUCUAAUAGGACUAGAAAACUUGAGCCGUCUGUUGUGUCAUCGUGCACAUAAUACUUUUGAUUUGUUAUCUUUGUGUGACAACUUAUCAAUGAGGUUGCUUUGUAUAUAAAUCCUUCUGUAUAUCUACU